ACUCCUACGGGAGGCAGCAGUGGGGAAUAUUGCACAAUGGGGGAAACCCUGAUGCAGCCAUGCCGCGUGUGUGAAGAAGGCCUUCGGGUUGUAAAGCACUUUCAGUAGGGAGGAAGGUAGUGUAGUUAACACCUGCAUUAUUUGACGUUACCUACAGAAGAAGCACCGGCUAACUCCGUGCCAGCAGCCGCGGUAAUACGGAGGGUGCGAGCGUUAAUCGGAAUCAUUGGGUUUAAAGGGUCCGUAGGUGGAUGAUUAAGUCAGAGGUGAAAGUCUGCAGCUCAACUGUAGAAUUGCCUUUUGAUACUGGUUAUCUUGAGUUAUUAUGAAGUAGUUAGAAUAUGUAGUGUAGCGGUGAAAUGCAUAGAUAUUACAUAGAAUACCAAUUGCGAAGGCAGAUUACUAAUAAUAUACUGACACUGAUGGACGAAAAGCGUGGGGAGCGAACAGGAUUAGAUACCCUGGUAGGAUAGCGU
rnacentral:rRNA from 1 species